rnacentral:pre_miRNA from 1 species
GCUGUAAAUUGUAAUCAUCAAAGCGUCUGCUAAAUCGCUUGGUGUUACUUCUUACAGUGA